AGAGUUUGAUCCUGGCUCAGGACGAACGCUGGCGGCGUGCCUAAUACAUGCAAGUCGAACGCACUCUUGAACUGAUUGAAGAAGCUUGCUUCUGAUUGAAGCUCAUUUGAGUGAGUGGCGGACGGGUGAGUAACACGUGGGUAACCUGCCCUAAAGUGGGGGAUAACAUUUGGAAACAGAUGCUAAUACCGCAUAAAACCUAGCACCGCAUGGUGCAAGGUUGAAAGAUGGUUUCGGCUAUCACUUUAGGAUGGACCCGCGGUGCAUUAGUUAGUUGGUGAGGUAAAGGCCCACCAAGACUGUGAUGCAUAGCCGACCUGAGAGGGUAAUCGGCCACACUGGGACUGAGACACGGCCCAGACUCCUACGGGAGGCAGCAGUAGGGAAUCUUCCACAAUGGACGAAAGUCUGAUGGAGCAACGCCGCGUGAGUGAAGAAGGUUUUCGGAUCGUAAAACUCUGUUGUUGGAGAAGAAUGUAUCUGAUAGUAACUGAUCAGGUAGUGACGGUAUCCAACCAGAAAGCCACGGCUAACUACGUGCCAGCAGCCGCGGUAAUACGUAGGUGGCAAGCGUUGUCCGGAUUUAUUGGGCGUAAAGCGAGCGCAGGCGGUUUUUUAAGUCUGAUGUGAAAGCCUUCGGCUCAACCGAAGAAGUGCAUCGGAAACUGGGAAACUUGAGUGCAGAAGAGGACAGUGGAACUCCAUGUGUAGCGGUGAAAUGCGUAGAUAUAUGGAAGAACACCAGUGGCGAAGGCGGCUGUCUGGUCUGUAACUGACGCUGAGGCUCGAAAGCAUGGGUAGCAAACAGGAUUAGAUACCCUGGUAGUCCAUGCCGUAAACGAUGAGUGCUAGGUGUUGGAGGGUUUCCGCCCUUCAGUGCCGCAGCUAACGCAUUAAGCACUCCGCCUGGGGAGUACGAUCGCAAGAUUGAAACUCAAAGGAAUUGACGGGGGCCCGCACAAGCGUGG
rnacentral:rRNA from 1 species